UCUUGAUAGACAUCAGACAACGCACACAGGAAGGAAAUCUUUCUCAUGUUAUGAAUGUGGGAAAUGUUUUAACUAUACCUCAGCACUAGUUACCCAUCAGAGAAUUCACACAGGAGAGAAACCUUUCUCGUGUUCCGAAUGUGGGAAAUGUUUCAGCCGCCAGUCACAUCUUGUUGGCCAUCAGAGAACUCACACAGGAGAGAAACCUUUCUCGUGCUCUGAAUGUGGGAAAUGCUUUAGCUAUACCUCAGCUCUGCAUAAACAUCAGAGUACUCAUACAGGAGAGAAACCUUUCUCGUGUUCUGAAUGUGGGAAGUGUUUUGUCAGUAAAUCGGAUCUUGUCAGACAUCAGAGAACUCACACAGGAGAGAAACCUUUCUCAUGCUCUGAAUGUGGGAAAUGUUUCAGCCGGCAGUGUCAACUUUCAAUACAUCGGAUAACUCACACAGGAGAGAAACCUUUCUCAUGCUCUGAAUGUUGGAAAUGUUUCAGUCGGCAGUGUCUACUUUCAAUACAUCAGAGAACUCACACAGGAGAGAAACCUUUCUCAUGUUCUGAAUGUGGGAAAUGUUUCAGCCACCAGUCACAUCUUGUUACACAUCAGAGAAGUCACACAGGAGAGAAACCUUUUUCAUGUUCUGAAUGUGGGAAGUGUUUUGUCAGUAAAGCAGUCCUUGUAAAACACCAGAUAACUCACACAGGAGAGAAACCUUUCUCAUGUUCUGAAUGUGGGAAACGUUUUAGCCGGCACACUCAUCUUGUUACACAUCAGAGAAGUCACACAGGAGAGAAACCUUUUUCAUGUUCUGAAUGUGAGACAUGUUUUGUCAGUAAACCAGACCUUGUCAGACAUCAGAGAACUCACACAGGAGAGAAACCUUUCUCGUGUUCCAAAUGUGGGAAAUGUUUCAGCCGGCAGUCACAUCUUGUUGGUCAUCAGAGAACUCACAAAGGAGGGAAACCUUUUUCAUGUUCUGAAUGUGGGAAAUGUUUCAGCUGGCAGUCACAACUUGCAAUACAUAAGAAAACUCACACAGGAGAUAGAUUAUGUGAUGUUUUGAUAGUUCCAAAUGUUAUUGUCAACUCUAAUAAUAUAUGAGGCAUCAAUGUAGUAAUUUACUGUGAGUGUGAGAUAUUCUAAAAUCAUAAUUCAAAGUUUGCUUACCUUGCAGCACCUCAUAUUAUAGCAAAGCCUUUUUCUUGCUGACACUAUAAAUAAUUACUGUAACAGUAUCAGUCAAUGAACAAAUUAUGCAUUGGUAUUGUGAUAACUUGUAAGCAUCCCCUAUUGACUGAAAAUAUGCAAAUUGACGACAUGGAAUUUAG